GACGAACGCUGGCGGCGUGCUUAACACAUGCAAGUCGAACGGUAAGGCCCUUCGGGGUACCCGAGUGGCGAACGGGUGCGUAACACGUGGGUAAUCUGCCCUGCACAUCGGGAUAAGCCUGGGAAACUGGGUCUAAUACCGAAUAGGACCACAGGACACAUGUCCUGUGGUGGAAAGCUUUUGCGGUGUGGGAUGGGCCCGCGGCCUAUCAGCUUGUUGGUGGGGUGAUGGCCUUCCAAGGCGACGACGGGUAGCCGGCCUGAGAGGGUGUCCGGCCACAUGGGGACUGAGAUACGGCCCAGACUCCGACGGGGGGCAGCAGUGGGGAAUAUUGCACAAUGGGCGAAAGCCUGAGGCAGCGACGCAGCGUGGGGGAUGACGGCCUUCGGGUUGUAAACCUCUUUCACCAUCGACGAAGGUCCGGGUUUUCUCGGGCUGACGGUAGGGGGAGAAGAAGCACCGGCCAACUACGUG
rnacentral:rRNA from 1 species